rnacentral:rRNA from 1 species
CGGAGGAUCCGAGCGUUAUCCGGAUUUAUUGGGUUUAAAGGGUGCGCAGGCGGAAGAUUAAGUCGGUGGUGAAAUUUUGCAGCUCAACUGUAAAAGUGCCAUUGAUACUGGUUUUCUUGAGUGUGGAUGAAGUAGGCGGAAUUUGUGGUGUAGCGGUGAAAUGCAUAGAUAUCACGAGGAACUCCGAUUGCGCAGGCAGCUUACUAAACCAUAACUGACGCUCAGGCACGAAGGCGUGGGGAUCAAACAGGAUUAGAUA